rnacentral:rRNA from 1 species
CAGCAGCCGCGGUAAGACAGAGGGUGCGAGCGUUAAUCGGAUUUACUGGGCGUAAAGCGUGCGUAGGCGGCUUUUUAAGUCGGAUGUGAAAUCCCUGAGCUUAACUUAGGAAUUGCAUUCGAUACUGGGAAGCUAGAGUAUGGGAGAGGAUGGUAGAAUUCCAGGUGUAGCGGUGAAAUGCGUAGAGAUCUGGAGGAAUACCGAUGGCGAAGGCAGCCAUCUGGCCUAAUACUGACGCUGAGGUACGAAAGCAUGGGGAGCAAACAGGAUUAGAUACCCCCGUAGUCCCUGUCUCUUAUAA